rnacentral:lncRNA from 1 species
GAAAAUAAAAUUCAAGAUUGCCAUCCUUGCCACUCCUCUGCUUAAGAAAGAGAUUACUAAAUAGUCUUAGCCCUUCAUUGGAGGAACGGAAACGUGGGGAAGCAGGAUAGGGUGCUGUUUUUUAACGACGAGGGACAAGAGGUGGGAGGGAGGCAGAGUGAUGGCCGCUGGCGAUGCUAGCAGGGACACUGCUCAGAGAUGCUUGGCUGCCACCCUCGGUGGGCUGGGUCUUCAGGAAUCACCUCUGUUACCUGCGUGGUCUUUGAUGGAAAUCGCUGGGGUUUCUUGGUCAAGAUCUGAGCCAGCCUUUCUGCAGCCAGGCUGACCCUACAAAUCCCCUUCUGUGGCAGCAAGGCCGAGUAGCCUUCUGGUCCUCUUGUGGUGGCAAGGUGGUAUUUAUGGGGAGCAUAUCCCCUUCAUUUUGUCUCUGCAAACACCCACGUGGGCAAGGCCAGAACACAGCCACUCACCAUCCCCAGCUAUGAGCAGCCACCUAGAAGGACAGCACCAGCUCCGGGGUCUGGCUCUGACCCAUUCGCGUGCAGGCCACAGUGGUCGGCCAGGCAGGGACUGAGGGAGGGGCCACUUCUCUGCCUCAGAGAGGUGCCCAGGCAGCACUGUGGUGAAGCCACCUGGAGAAGGGCAAUGGCCUCAUCUUCCUUGAAGACCCUUAGUCCUGGGCAGUGGCUGGACUGAUGAGGGAACCGCCGCUGCACACCCACGGAGGGCCCUGCCCAUCUACCUGGGGCCUGCAGCGUCAGAGAUAGCUGUACUAGCACCACCUGACUGAGGGUACUGGGGUUGGGAGGGGGCCUAGUGGGCUGUGAGGGCCUCCAGGUUGCGCCUGAGACCUCAGACCCGGGUCCCCCACCUUGUAAGUGGCAGGGUGGUGAUGUUGUGGCUCAUCUGCCCUGGAAUCGAGAGAUAGGCACAGCGCACAACGGAACCUCACUGGGGCCUGUCCCGCCUCCCAGGAGGACAAGCUGGCCCUGGGGUAGGGGUCAGGGCAGGCAGCUGACCUUGGAUGGUCCAGCAGUUUCCAGAGGCAGAAUAGAAUUUGGGUGCAGCUUGCUGGGCGAGGGUAGGGGCAAACGGGCCCGGGAGAGGGAAGAGAAAGUCCCACUUCCUACUUCGCCUCUCUCUCCGCAGCGCUCUCUACAGAGGCACAACAAACAGGCCGGGAGGAGGGACGGGAGGCCAGGACAGGUCCACGUUCCGUGAAACCUUUGCAGGGCACCAGCUGAGAGACAGAAUUUUUGGAAGAACUUAGGGAAGAAACUAAGAAAAGACAACAGCACACAGCAACAAGGUGAGACUGGAAGUUGAACCAGGGCUGCUGGGCUCGGGUGCCAGGUACCCCUUCGCCCCACCAGCCAGCAUUGCCAGGGAAGGGUUUUUGGGUUCACGGA